UGGAAACUGACCAUCCAUAAUAUUGCAUUUGAGAAUUAAAAUUUUGAGUGAUACGAGAUCAUCCAAAAAUGAUAAGAUACUAUUAUCGAAGCCAUUAAAACCAACAUCUAAAACUUUUAGCUUCUUGAAACUUGAUAAACUUCUAUCAAAACCUGCUGGGUGAAUCCAACUAUCGAACCGAUUACCAGAUAAAUUAAGGCUGACCAGUUCUUCAAAAGGAUGAAGCAUGGAGAGA
rnacentral:misc_RNA from 1 species